rfam:Cavia porcellus supercont2_123 genomic scaffold, whole genome shotgun sequence.
UGGUGCCCCCAAUGUGGGGCCCAAGAACGGAGGACGCUGUUUGUGGGCCCAACAUAGAAGAAGGAAAAGAAAAUAGAGGACGUAUGUGGGAGCCUGCUGCUAAACCUCAGUAAGUGAACAGCGAUUAUGAGACAAGAAAUUAGCCAGCAUGAGGUUUUUGUUGAAAAUUUAGUAAAACUUUUAACGACACAAGGAGUUAAGGUGAAUAUUGAACAAUUAUGCCAAUACUUCGAUUUUAUAAAAGAGCUUUUCCCUU